AGAAGGGGAGGACGAAGAGAGCAAAGGGGGGAAGGGAAGCCCCUCUUUCCCAGCGUGUGCAGCAGGCAGCCCCCACUGGACAGCUCCUGCUCCGCUUUACAGUCGCACCCCAACCCCAUCAGCUCUCCUCGGAGCCAGGCAGGGUGUCAGAGACCGGAAAAGGUUGAUCUCUGGAGACAUUUUGGGAUGCAGGUGUGUGGGGAGGUGGGGCAGGUCGGGCCUUGCUUUGGCCAGGCAGUGCCCUGCUCUUCCACCACACCCCCCAGACCAGCCCUAGAGCAUCCCAGCCUGGCAGAGCUGUCCAGCACUGGCACACCAGAGGCUGCCCCAGUCCUCCCUAACCCAGCUCCUGAGUCACCGAGUGACCAGAAGUCCCACAUAGGGGGAGGGUCCACGGAGGCCCUGGAGUUUAGAAGGCUGACCACAAGGUGACCACGUGUCUGACCCUGCUUGCUCGUGGAGUCUACACUGGAAUCCAGCAGUUGGUACCUGGCCUGCAAUUUAGGAGAUGCCAGAUGAUCCCACUGAGGGAGACUUUGGCCAAGGAGUCCUGGCAGAGACUGGGCAAGGUGCAGAGAGC